AUCGCAAUUAAUUACGGCACACAGCCGUCC
rnacentral:sRNA from 1 species